AAUAAUCACCUGUUCAGAGAGACUAAAUAGGUGGGUCAGCGUCUGCUUGAAGCCCUCAGCUCAGAAGUCUGUUAGCCUCUGAUCCCACUUUGCACCAUAUCUUUGUGUCCGUUUCUUAAUUCCUUCAGUGCCACUGAGUUGGGGUCUCUAACACGGAGCUGAUCAGGAAGGGAGGAAGGUGUGAGUCGAACCCUGGUUGAUCAUGUUUUGGAAACUCCAGGAAACAUCAAAUGAUGUAGACAACGUCCCACUCAAGCUCCUUCCAAGAUUUCUACAACUAGGAGUGAACAUCUUCGAGGGCCAAUUAUUUCGUCUGCCACAUCCAGUCAGGAUGUGUUUCUGCAAGCUGCAUUCAUCUGCAACAGUAGAACCUGCAAAGGUAGGGGUGUAUAAAAUGAUUUACAUUCAGAUUCCUGCUGGGUAGGUGUGUGGCAAGCAGAGUGACUCGAGAGAAAACAGGUAUGUUCAGCAUUUUCUGGGAAAGCUUUAUUAUUGAAGGGGCAAUUUUAAAAUAUGAAGGCACAGGGAAAAAAACCCUCAAAGUAUAAUGCUGUAACUGGUG
rnacentral:lncRNA from 13 species